AGGAGGAGCUUGCUCUUCUGGAUGAGUUGCGAACGGGUGAGUAACGCGUAGGUAACCUGCCUCUUAGCGGGGGAUAACUAUUGGAAACGAUAGCUAAUACCGCAUAAAAGUCGACAUUGCAUGAUGUUGACUUGAAAGGUGCAACUGCAUCACUAAGAGAUGGACCUGCGUUGUAUUAGCUAGUUGGUGAGGUAACGGCUCACCAAGGCGACGAUACAUAGCCGACCUGAGAGGGUGAUCGGCCACACUGGGACUGAGACACGGCCCAGACUCCUACGGGAGGCAGCAGUAGGGAAUCUUCGGCAAUGGACGGAAGUCUGACCGAGCAACGCCGCGUGAGUGAAGAAGGUUUUCGGAUCGUAAAGCUCUGUUGUAAGAGAAGAACGAGUGUGAGAGUGGAAAGUUCACACUGUGACGGUAACUUACCAGAAAGGGACGGCUAACUACGUGCCAGCAGCCGCGGUAAUACGUAGGUCCCGAGCGUUAUCCGGAUUUAUUGGGCGUAAAGCGAGCGCAGGCGGUUAGAUAAGUCUGAAGUUAAAGGCUGUGGCUUAACCAUAGUACGCUUUGGAAACUGUUUAACUUGAGUGCAGAAGGGGAGAGUGGAAUUCCAUGUGUAGCGGUGAAAUGCGUAGAUAUAUGGAGGAACACCGGUGGCGAAAGCGGCUCUCUGGU
rnacentral:rRNA from 1 species